UACGUAGGGGGCAAGCGUUGUCCGGAUUUAUUGGGCGUAAAGAGCGUGUAGGCGGCUUGACAGGUCUGCUGUGAAAACUCGAGGCUCAACCUCGAGAUGUCGGCGGAAACCGUCUGGCUAGAGUCCGGAAGAGGAGAGUGGAAUUCCUGGUGUAGCGGUGAAAUGCGCAGAUAUCAGGAAGAACACCUAUUGCGAAGGCAGCUCGCUGGGACGUAACUGACGCUGAGACGCGAAAGCGUGGGGAGCAAACAGG
rnacentral:rRNA from 1 species